GACGAACGCUGGCGGCGUGCCUAAUACAUGCAAGUUGAGCGCUGAAGGUUGGUACUUGUACCAACUGGAUGAGCAGCGAACGGGUGAGUAACGCGUGGGGAAUCUGCCUUUGAGCGCGGGACAACAUUUGGAAACGAAUGCUAAUACCGCAUAAAAACUUUAAACACAAGUUUUAAGUUUGAAAGAUGCAAUUGCAUCACUCAAAGAUGAUCCCGCGUUGUAUUAGCUAGUUGGUGAGGUAAAGGCUCACCAAGGCGAUGAUACAUAGCCGACCUGAGAGGGUGAUCGGCCACAUUGGGACUGAGACACGGCCCAAACUCCUACGGGAGGCAGCAGUAGGGAAUCUUCGGCAGUGGACGAAAGUCUGACCGAGCAACGCCGCGUGAGUGAAGAAGGUUUUCGGAUCGUAAAACUCUGUUGGUAGAGAAGAACGUUGGUGAGAGUGGAAAGCUCAUCAAGUGACGGUAACUACCCAGAAAGGGACGGCUAACUACGUG
rnacentral:rRNA from 1 species